CCUACGGGUGGCAGCAGUCGAGAAUCAUUCACAAUGGGGGAAACCCUGAUGGUGCGACGCCGCGUGGGGGAAUGAAGGUCUUCGGAUUGUAAACCCCUGUCAUGUGGGAGCAAAUUAAAAAGAUAGUACCACAAGAGGAAGAGACGGCUAACUCUGUGCCAGCAGCCGCGGUAAUACAGAGGUCUCAAGCGUUGUGCGGAAUCACUGGGCGUAAAGCGUGCGUAGGCUGUUUGGUAAGUCGUGUGUGAAAGGCGCGGGCUCAACGUGCGAACGGCACAUGAUACUGCGAGACUAGAGUAAGGGAGGGGGAACCGGAAGUCUCGGUGUAGCAGUGAAAUGCGUAGAUAGCGAGAGGAACACUCGUGGCGAAGGCGGGUUCCUGGACAUUAACUGACGCUGAGGCACGAAGGCCAGGGGAGCGAAAGGGAUUAGAUACCCGGGUAGUC
rnacentral:rRNA from 1 species